rnacentral:tRNA from 1 species
GGGGAUUUAGCUCAAUGGUAGAGUGCUUGCCUAGCAAGCGCAAGGCCCUGGGUUCGGUCCCCAGCUCCA